AUGGGAACGCACAUUCUCUUCUCGUGCAUAGCAGCGCAGGCACUUUGGUGCUUUGUUCGUGAGGCUCUUGGGCCGGAGUGGGAGGCCACUGACCUCGCAGGGUUUCUGCAGGUUAGGGCCACCCAGGUUGGCCGUAAGCGCCGACUGUUCUGGCUUAUCUUCGCGGCUAUGAUGUGGACUCUCUGGACUACCCGCAAUAAGAUGGUGAUUGAGCGGGUGUUCCUGCGACGUGCUUCUGACUCGUUCUUCAAAUUUCUUGCCUUCCUGCAGCACUGGCAUCCGCUCGCUAGGCCGAGGGAUCGUGAUCGUCUUCAGCUUCUCUUGGACACCCUGGUGUCUUCUGCGCGCCGGCUCUCCGACCGCUCGUCUGCUCCUUAG
rnacentral:rRNA from 1 species